rnacentral:tRNA from 1 species
GCACUCAUAGCUCAAUUGGAUAGAGUACUGGUCUACGAAACCAGCGGUUGAAGGUUCGACCCCUUCUGAGUGUA